CUCACAUCACCAAUAGCCUUCUUGACCAUAUGCUCUCAAACAAAGAGCCAUCAAAACAGGAACAGACUUCAUUAACCACAAAUGUCCACCUCUCACAGUGUUUUUAUACACCUGCUUCUUUUAAGAUGUGAGAACAUUCCAGACCACUGGAAAUCUUGCCAUCAUUAAGAGGACACCUGUCAUACAACAAAUGGAACAGGAGGACAUAAAACUAUCCACCACAGACUGACCUGACCGGUGGAGUUGGCUGCAAGCACCAGUACAGACAAGCUAAACUGCUCCAUCACUAACAGUUUGAUCUGCUCCUCUUAGAGCUCCUAAAGUGCUUCAGUGGGGUUAAUAGUAGAUGUCUGCAGAUGGCACAGAAAGUGAUACAUUCACAAAAGUCAAUUCUACUCCUUCAACCUGCACUGAUAAAGCCCUGUUCCUUUUGUGCCUGCUAUGACUUACAGGCAAGCUAAAUAUGUUUGCUGUUAUUAAGGCUUAAAAGUCAUUUAGAAUGUGAUAUGAAGAGAGAUUGUGAACAGAAGUGGAGAUUUGAUGCAAGACUAAAAAGAGUAGUUUAUAUAGCUUGAACCAAACAGGCUUAAAUUGAUUACACAUAUUUUGUUUUUCUCUUUCUCUCUGCCUCCUUGUUAUUCUCUUUCAAGUUGUUUGCAUGUAUAUUAGUAUGCUGAGAACUACCCUCUAUCUAAUUAUGACCAGUUUGAUCUAGCAUUUCUAUAAAACAAUCAAUAAUAGUUGCUUUCUUUUUUUUUUUUUUCAUACACAGCUCGUUGAUAAAUAAAAGGAUUCGGUGAGUACACUCCAAAACAAACACAUUUGGAUUUUCCCAUUAUCACCAUUUUCUUUCUUCCAAUAUCGGUACAAACAUUUUAUGCAUUGCCUCAUCUGCAAGGUUUUAGAGAAUAAUAUGGAUUCGAAUACACUUUCACUCUCUCUGCUUACGUUUCCCAGCACCCCCUGUUUCUGUUAACACCCUCCAAGCUCACAGUCAGUCUGUCUGCAUCUUCUUGUUAUAUAAUUGUUUAAAUUCAAGCUGGUUGCCAGGUUGGCAGAGCUCUGCAUGUGUCCACGUGUUUGUAUGUGUAGUAGAAAUAUGCUAAUAUUACUGAUGUCAUGGGGGGUAGUCAGUCUUUCUCAGAUGGUUGACAGGUACCCACCAACAUAACACCUGAAAAUAACAGUUUCUACAUUUCUAAGCUUCAAUAAAGCUAAACAAUUCUCCUGUUGCUUCUGUCAAGUCUGUGGUAACUCUACAUUUACAACUUUUUCAUAUAUUCCAGAUGAAUUGAAAAGGUCAACUGAUUUCUAACUUAUCUUAUUAAAAUUAGUUAACAAGAAAAAGCUCCAAAGAAAAAUUUGCACAUUUAAUUUAACUCCCAUGGUGAAAAUAUUAAACUUUUUUGAAGCAGGAUACAUAGGCUUAUAAUGAAAGAACUAAUAUACACAAAAGGUUUGAUUAUCAAUUUUGUCUUUGCACAAAACGUAACAUAAAACUUAUCAGGGCAACAAAUUAUGACAUCAAAUUCACCCUAGUUAUCUUUGCAGACUAAAUACAUUCUCCUGCAAACCCAACUUCUGAUACACCUGCACCUUUCAUUCAGAACCAGACUGUUUUUUGUGUGGAAAUAAAAGAUAAAUAGAAAUACAAAGAAAGGUUUUAGAAAGUGCUUUUCAAUAUGGUAAUUUGGAAAUUAGGUUCGAGACCCAAAGAGCUCGUUGUGCAGCAUGUGCCUAAAAAGUAAUG